UACAGAGGGUGCAAGCGUUAAUCGGAAUUACUGGGCGUAAAGCGUGCGUAGACGGUUAUGUAAGUCGGGUGUGAAAGCCCCGGGCUCAACCUGGGAAUGCCAUUCGAGACUGCAUAGCUAGGGUGCGGAAGAGGGAAGCGGAAUUUCCGGUGUAGCGGUGAAAUGCGUAGAUAUCGGAAGGAACACCAGUGGCGAAAGCGGCUUCCUGGUCCAGCACCGACGUCAGGCACGAAAGCGUGGGGAGCAAACGGG
rnacentral:rRNA from 1 species